rnacentral:rRNA from 1 species
UACGUAGGGGCCUAGCGUUGUCCGGAAUUAUUGGGCGUAAAGAGCUCGUAGGCGGUUCGGCAAGUCGGAUGUGAAAUCUCCACGCUCAACGUGGAGGGGCCAUUCGAAACUGCCGUGACUCGAGUCCGGUAGGGGAGUGUGGAAUUCCCGGUGUAGCGGUGAAAUGCGCAGAUAUCGGGAAGAACACCCGUGGCGAAGGCGGCUCUCUGGGACGGUACUGACGCUGAGACGCGAAAGCGUGGGGAGCGAACGGG